rnacentral:rRNA from 1 species
GCUAUACAUGCAGUCGAGCGAACAGACAAGGAGCUUGCUCCUUUGACGUUAGCGGCGGACGGGUGAGUAACACGUGGGUAACCUACCUAUAAGACUGGGAUAACUUCGGGAAACCGGAGCUAAUACCGGAUAAUAUUUCGAACCGCAUGGUUCGAUAGUGAAAGAUGGUUUUGCUAUCACUUAUAGAUGGACCCGCGCCGUAUUAGCUAGUUGGUAAGGUAACGGCUUACCAAGGCGACGAUACGUAGCCGACCUGAGAGGGUGAUCGGCCACACUGGAACUGAGACACGGUCCAGACUCCUACGGGAGGCAGCAGUAGGGAAUCUUCCGCAAUGGGCGAAAGCCUGACGGAGCAACGCCGCGUGAGUGAUGAAGGUCUUCGGAUCGUAAAACUCUGUUAUUAGGGAAGAACAUACGUGUAAGUAACUAUGCACGUCUUGACGGUACCUAAUCAGAAAGCCACGGCUAACUACGUGCCAGCAGCCGCGGUAAUACGUAGGUGGCAAGCGUUAUCCGGAAUUAUUGGGCGUAAAGCGCGCGUAGGCGGUUUUUUAAGUCUGAUGUGAAAGCCCACGGCUCAACCGUGGAGGGUCAUUGGAAACUGGAAAACUUGAGUGCAGAAGAGGAAAGUGGAAUUCCAUGUGUAGCGGUGAAAUGCGCAGAGAUAUGGAGGAACACCAGUGGCGAAGGCGACUUUCUGGUCUGUAACUGACGCUGAUGUGCGAAAGCGUGGGGAUCAAACAGGAUUAGAUACCCUGGUAGUCCACGCCGUAAACGAUGAGUGCUAAGUGUUAGGGGGUUUCCGCCCCUUAGUGCUGCAGCUAACGCAUUAAGCACUCCGCCUGGGGAGUACGACCGCAAGGUUGAAACUCAAGGAAUUGACGGGGACCCGCACAAGCGGUGGAGCAUGUGGUUUAAUUCGAAGCAACGCGAAGAACCUUACCAAUCUUGACAUCCUUUGACAACUCUAGAGAUAGAGCCUUUCCCCUUCGGGGGACAAAGUGACAGGUUGGUUGCAUGGGUUGUCGUCAGCU